rnacentral:rRNA from 1 species
GUGGGGAAUCUUAGACAAUGGGGGAAACCCUGAUCUAGCCAUGCCGCGUGAGCGAUGAAGGCCUUAGGGUUGUAAAGCUCUUUCAGAUGGGAAGAUAAUGACGGUACCAUCAGAAGAAGCCCCGGCUAACUCCGUGCCAGCAGCCGCGGUAAUACGGAGGGGGCUAGCGUUGUUCGGAAUUACUGGGCGUAAAGCGCACGUAGGCGGACCAGAAAGUCAGAGGUGAAAUCCCAGGGCUCAACCUUGGAACUGCCUUUGAAACUCCUGGUCUUGAGGUCGAGAGAGGUGAGUGGAAUUCCGAGUGUAGAGGUGAAAUUCGUAGAUAUUCGGAGGAACACCAGUGGCGAAGGCGGCUCACUGGCUCGAUACUGACGCUGAGGUGCGAAAGCGUGGGGAGCAAACAGGAUUAGAAACCCCAGUAGUCC